UACGAAGGGGGCUAGCGUUGCUCGGAAUCACUGGGCGUAAAGGGCGCGUAGGCGGCCGAUUAAGUCGGGGGUGAAAGCCUGUGGCUCAACCACAGAAUUGCCUUCGAUACUGGUUGGCUUGAGACCGGAAGAGGACAGCGGAACUGCGAGUGUAGAGGUGAAAUUCGUAGAUAUUCGCAAGAACACCAGUGGCGAAGGCGGCUCACUGGCCCGAUACUGACGCUGAGGCACGAAAGCGUGGGGAGCAAACAGG
rnacentral:rRNA from 1 species